AAGCUCUGCUUGGUAUUGGGCCUCGUCCCCCCGCGGACGUGCCUCAAAAUCAUCGGCGGUGGCGUCUUGCCUCAAGCGUAGUAAAAUUCUUCUCGCUUUGGAGGUUGGGGCGCCCCCCGCCGGACGAACCUUUUUACUUCUAUCAAAGGUUGACCUCGGAUCAGGUAGGGAUACCCGCUGAACUUAAGCAUAUCAAUAAGCGGAGGAAAAGAAACCAACAGGGAUUGCCUCAGUAACGGCGAGUGAAGCGGCAACAGCUCAAAUUUGAAAUCUGGCCCUUUCAGGGUCCGAGUUGUAAUUUGUAGAGGAUGUUUCGGCGAGUGCUCCCGUCUAAGUUCCUUGGAACAGGACGUCAUAGAGGGUGAGAAUCCCGUAUGUGAUGGGUUGCGCGAGCCAUGUGAAACUCC
rnacentral:rRNA from 1 species